GACGAACGCUGGCGGCGUGCCUAAUACAUGCAAGUAGAACGAGUGGCGGACGGGUGAGUAAUGUCUGGGAAACUGCCUGAUGGAGGGGGAUAACUACUGGAAACGGUAGCUAAUACCGCAUACCAUCCGAUUUGACCAGAUGGGAUUAGCUAGUUGGUGGGGUAACGGCUCACUAAGGCGACGAUCCCUAGCUGGUCGGAGAGGAUGACCAGCCACACGGGAACUGAGACACGGUCCAGACUCCUACGGGAGGCAGCAGUGGGGAAUAUUGCACAAGGGGCGCAAGCCUGAUGCAGCCAUGCCGCGUGUAUGAAGAAGGCCUUCGGGUUGUAAAGUACUUUCAGCGGGGAGGCGUUACCCGCAGAAGAAGCACCGGCUAACUCCGUGCCAGCCGCCGCGGUAAUUC
rnacentral:rRNA from 1 species